UGGGGAAUAUUGCACAAUGGGCGAAAGCCUAAUGCAGCCAUGCCGCGUGUGUGAAGAAGGCCUUAGGGUUGUAAAGCACUUUCAGCGAGGAGGAAAGGAUUAAAGUUAAUAUCUUUAGUCUAUGACGUUACUCGCAGAAGAAGCACCGGCUAACUCCGUGCCAGCAGCCGCGGUAAUACGGAGGGUGCGAGCGUUAAUCGGAAUUACUGGGCGUAAAGCGUGCGUAGGCGGCUACUUAAGUUGGAUGUGAAAGCCCCGGGCUCAACCUGGGAACUGCAUCCAAAACUGGGUGGCUAGAGUGCGAGAGAGGAGUGUGGAAUUUCCUGUGUAGCGGUGAAAUGCGUAGAUAUAGGAAGGAACACCAGUGGCGAAGGCGACACUCUGGCUUGACACUGACGCUGAGGUACGAAAGCGUGGGGAGCAGACAGGAUUAGAUACCCUGGUAGUCCACGCCGUAAACGAUGUCUACUAGUUGUCCGUUGUCUUGUACGAUGGGUGACGCA
rnacentral:rRNA from 1 species